ensembl:piRNA 21ur-4774 ncRNA
AUUAGGACACUUCAUCUCCCU